CUUCUCAGGAAGCCUGCCCUGGCCCCUUGGCUUGCGAACUGGGCAUUCACCACAGCAUCGUCACUCACAGAUGGCUGAGAAAACGAAAACAUUUGCUCCACGGGUGGGUAUCCUCGGUGAGCAUCUCGUCAUCCAGCAUCGGGACUGACUGGCUUCGAGACAUACUGGACAUACCAUGCUCUGGCCCCAGCAUCUUAUCUGGUCGUUCAUGGCUUCCUAAGUGAUCACUCCCAGAAGCAUAGUUUUCUAAUGGCACUGUGCUAGACUCAGGCAAUACAAGGAUGGACAAGAAAGCAAGCACCGCUGCCUUCAUGAAACUCACAGUCUGAAGUCAAUAAACAAAGUAAUCAUAACUGUUCAUCAUAUUUAAUGUGACAAUGUGACAUGAUAGAGAAUAUCAGAGGGUCCAACUGAUCAGGGUGAUCAGGGAAGGCCUUCCUGCUGAGGUGACCUUUAAGCUGAAACUUGAAGGAUGAGGAAGUGCUAGCCAUAUAAAGAGAUUUGGGGAAAAGGCAAAUGUAAACUGCACAAGGCAUUAUAAAGGAAAAUCUCCCUGUCCUCCUUCUUCUUAUGGCUCUGCCAGCCCUGUUCUUUGUCUGGCAUAAUUUAUGUUAAAACUAUUGGCAUCUAGUUGGCAAACUGAA